UUAUAUUUUUUUAAUAAAUUGUUAAAUUAAUUAGUUUUAUUAAUUUAUUUGGGACUUAAAAACUAAGAUACCGAUGAAAUAAACAGUUAAUUUUUAAUUGGUACUCCAAUAUGAAAGAAAAAAUGCUUACAAAAAACAUUGACUGAUGAAGAUUAAAAGAGGAUUCAGAUACACAAAUCAAGUCAAAUCAUAAGUUCUUAAAGCCAAAUUUCAAUUUACGUGUAAAGUAUUGACAAGUUGGAAAAUGUGGAAGAAAGUAUGGUGAAAACUCAAGAAGAACUUGUUAAAAAGUUGCAAGAUGCUAAUAAUAUCUAACUACAGAAACUCAAUGUUUUAAAAAAAAUUUUAACAUGAAUUAGUGAGAUAGUUUGUUACAUAAAUCAAUUACUUAACAAAUUAACAACAAACAAAAUUUGUUUCUCUGCAAUAUGAAAAAGAAACAUUUCAUUGCAAUCUGUUAAACAUUUUAAUCUUUUUAUUUAAAUCCACACUCAGCCAUUUUUUAUAGUUGGCCAACAGCUGAAUCGCCUAUGAGUCAUGUAAGAAGGCAAACCGUCCUGCCAUUGCCAUCAACGCUGCAUGAAUAUUAGUACGAUAUUUACAGGUAUCAGUGUUAUAAUUCUCAGUUUUACCAAGAGUGGGUUGUUGACAAUGCUGACAUUACAAUAUUAUGUAUGCAUAUCAGGAGUUGAUUAGUGCUGCGGUUCAUCAAGGAGUCACAGAACUACUUGCAGAUGUAACGUUUAAGGUAGUUCUAUAACCUUCAUUUAAUUUUGCGAAACUAUGUUAGUCCAUACCUAUAUGCAUUAUGCUUAUGGAAGCAAAAAUUGAGGCUUCCUAUAGGAAAGUUAUGGAUUGGUUCAAAAUUAAAUUUCCUGAAUUUAAGCCUUUGAUCAUUAUGAUCGAUUUUUGAAUUAGCCCUCUGUAAUGGUUUUCUUGAUGUAUAUCCUGAAGCUCAGAUUAUUGCAUGUUCCACUUUGUACAGUUUCAAACUUUUAACAUUUAGAUUUUACAGAAAAACAUUUUAAAAAAUGGGUUAUUCAGGAUACAUUUAGCAAAUACGAGAGGCAAAAAUGUAUUUAAAAAUGUGUACAGUGUUGGCUCUAUUGCCUGCUUAUCAAAUUGAGCAAGGAUUUCACGAAGUGAAAAAUUAUGCCCAAACUAAUGAAGCUUAAUUACCAAGUAAUUUAAUUCACUUAAAUUUCUAGUUUUUAGCUUAUAAGAAAAGAUCCAGAGUGUUUUUCUGUGUACGGUCAACUACAUUGCUCAAACAACAAUGUAAAACUUUCACUUUCACAAUCUUUUACUCAACACUGAAAUAAACUUUCCAUGGGAUGCACCCAAAUUUGUGGACAAUGUUGAUUAGGUACAUUGGUAAGUAACAACGUUCAAAAAGAAGUUCUUCAUACACUAACAUUUAUUAAACAUGAACUAAGAUGUGAAGAUGAAAUUGAAUUGGGCCAAAGACUAGAAAUUUUAGAAACACGAUCAGAUAGUAAUGUUCAUAAUGAUAAUAGCAGUAAGCCAUUUAGCUUGUUGAAUGAUAUGGCUGAUUGUGCUAUACCAUUGAAUAAUGAAAUAGAUCUUAUUAUAUUUGAAGAUGACAUUUCUGGAGAUAAUAUAUUCCGAUCUAAUUUGAAUACAUUGGCAGAAAACAUGUAAAAGCUAUGGUUAAUAGAUUUUUGUACAAACUGUUCAAUGAUGAACUACUAAAAGACUAUUUGUUUACUGGCAAAACAGGAAAAAAAAAUUUUUCAACAUUGGCAAUAUGCUCUGUAAUUUUUGAUACUCUAAAACAACAUAAAAAAUUCAAAUGUGUAUCACAAAAUGAAAUCGAACAAAUUAUUAAAUAUAUUUUUGCACAAGCAACAUUUGAUUUUCAACAACUAGAUGCUAAGUUAAUGAAGGACUAAUUUUUUUUUAUAUAUACAUAAUUUAUUAUUAGCUGGUUAUGUAUCUUGGUAAUAUAUUUUAUAGGUACAACAGUUGAUUAUUUUUUUUUUUUUUAAUUUAAUAUUUUUACUUUAUUAUAAUAUAUUUUCUAUAACGGACUAAUUUUUUUUAUAAUCUGUAGGGUAUGGUACUCUAUUCCAUUUAAGAGUGAACCAGUUUCGCACACACAGACUGAGCCGCCAAACAGUGCCUGCCCCCCCCCCCCCCUAACCAUGCAAUGGCUAUGCGUUCUGCGAUUGGCAGACAGUCAUUGCAGGCCAUCGUCGAUUGUCGGGCACCUGUGCUAACGCUCUCACUAAUGCCCGGUUGGUGGUGGGGUUGCACGGAAAAAACAUGUGUUAGUCAGCCGAGUGGUUCAAUUUUAGAUGGAACAGAGUAUACCUUGAUAUUAUAUUUUACACAACAGUUUAUUAUUUUAUUUUAUUUUUUACUUAGAAAAAAAAAAUUUAAUAUUAAUUUAUUAUAAUAUAUUUUAUAUAGAGCACUAGUUUUUUUUUUAUAAACAAUUUAUUAUCAGGUAAUGAACCUAA